rnacentral:rRNA from 1 species
GACGAACGCUGGCGGCGUGCUUAACACAUGCAAGUCGAACGGAAAGGCCCUGCUUUUGUGGGGUGCUCGAGUGGCGAACGGGUGAGUAACACGUGAGUAACCUGCCCUUAACUUUGGGAUAACUUCAGGAAACUGGGGCUAAUACCGGAUAGGAGCUCCUGCUGCAUGGUGGGGGUUGGAAAGUUUCGGCGGUUGGGGAUGGACUCGCGGCUUAUCAGCUUGUUGGUGGGGUAGUGGCUUACCAAGGCUUUGACGGGUAGCCGGCCUGAGAGGGUGACCGGCCAAAUGGGGAUGGGGAUACGGCCAAAACCCCUAGGGGGGGAAGGGGGGGGGAAUUUUGCAAAAGGGGCGGAAGCCGGAUGCAGCAACCCCGGGGGGGGGAUGGCGGCCUUCGGGUUGUAAACCGCUUUCGCCUGUGACGAAGGGGGAGUGACGGUAAUGGGAAAAGAAGCACCGGCUAACUACGU